GACAUGAAAUGUGCCACUGGGUCAAAAACAUAAAAGGACCUGACCGGAGGCAGCAGAGUCACACAGAGGCUGAUGUUGUCACACGUAGGACACAAGGACAUCACAGUGAAGCCCGAGGCUAAAUUUGUUCAUGUGUCCAUUCUAGCUGUGUGUGUUUAUGCUGAAAGGCCAAGACAAACAAAUAUAAAGACCCUAUGGUUCUUACAACCAUGAAAAUAAGUCAAGACAGGCUUUAGAGCUGGAUGUAAGUGCUUUCAGACCUAGAGUUGUCUUGCUUCAGUCUGAAUCAGGGACUAAUUUUGUUGCAUAAUUGCCUAGAGUUGGUUCGUGUUCUCACGGCAGCAUUUACAAGCGGACCACCUCUUCAAGAAGGUCUCUGUCCGGUUGUUUUGGUGCACACCCAAGUGCGAUUGCUGUGUUCACACCUGCCCAAACGAACCGCACUUGGGGGUCAAAUGAACUUGAGCUCGACUGAACUGAACCAAACAGGGCAGGUGUGAAAGCAGCCUAAAGGUCAACCACAAUGACUUGACUUCAGCAUCAUAAUACUGCAGUAUAUUUGUGUAUAUAUUCUGGACCCUGAUGUCAGCAUCUUUUCAUGUUACUGAAUCUUCUGUAUACAUUUUAAAAGGCCCAGUGUGUAAGAUUUAGGGGGAUUUAGUGGCAUAUAGCAGUGAAGAUUUCAGAUUACAACCAGCUGAGGCUUCUCCUGGUUAGAAUUCUUUCAGUGUUCAUUGUUCAGGUUUUUACCAGGAGCCAAAUCAUCAGCAGAGGUCUCUUUCUCUCCAAAACAAACAUACCAGGUUAUUUAAACUGGUAAAAGGCAUGGAAUAAAGCAGUCUCACCUUGCAAAUCAGUGUUUCUUACAUGCAGUUUGGCAUGUCUGAGACAGCCACUAACCUAGCACUUGUUAAGGCUGCAGUCUCCUUUUUUCUGUGAUAACUUAAGAUCCAGAUGUUCAGAAGGUUUUUACUGGGCGCCGAAUUAUCCGCAGAGGUCUCUUUCUCAUUAAAACAAACAGACUUGGUGAUUUAAAUAGGUAAAAACACUGGAUAAAGCUGUUUUACAUUACAAAUCAGUGUUUUUCCUAUGCUAUUUGACUUGUCGGAGAUGGGCCACUAACCUGGUGCCUGCUAAUGUGUGCUCCCUCUUUCCUCUGAUAACUUAAGAUCCAGAAAUUGAAGUUUUUACCAGGAGCCGAAUUAUCCACAGAGGUCUUUAAAACGAAUGGUGAUUUAAACUAGUAAAAAACACUAAAUAAAGCAGUUUUAUGUUACAAAUCAGUGUUUUUCCUAUGCUAUUUGACUUGUCAGAGACAGGCCGCUAGCCCUGCACCUGCUAAUGUGUGCUCACUUUUUUUCCUCUGAUAACUUUAGAUCCAGAGGUCCAGUAGGUUUUUACCAGGAGCCAAAUUAUCCACAGAGGUCUCUUCCUCUCCAAAACAAACGGACCCGCUGAUUUUAACAGGAAAUGUGCUGUUGUACAGCUGUCAUCAAGGUCAUCAAGAAUUCAAUUUCCAUAUUGGGAGUUAUAAACAACCACGAAAGGAUCUGUUGGAAAUGAAAGAGUGGUUCUACAAAAGAUCCAAAGUCAAAGACCUGCCACACCAUAUGCGAGGCCCCCACCUCUCCAUGUUGGUGUUGUGGUAUGCAGAGACGUGAAGAAGUGCUAACAUGGGUCUUCAAUGACACUGGCAAGGUGAGGCCAGCUGCCUCAAACACCAACAAGGUGGCUGUCAUCAGCGAUGGUGCAUCAGUUACCAGAACCACCUUAUAUGAAACGUACGCAUCAAAGGUCACCACUGGGAUGUCGUACAUUAUUCGAGGCUCCAACAUAAGGGCAAAAUCAGCCUUUUUCCACUGACAUAACAAAAGAGACGAAGAAGAUGAGCUCAUCAGUCCUGGUUCUGUGCUCACACAGCUCAGUAAUGUGUGACCGGUGGAGGGGCUUGUGACCAUUGAAGGAGAUGUGAUGUUCAUAUUAUUGUUGUGUGUGAAUAAAAUAUGUCAUUAAUACUAACAUAUUGUCCUCCAUAAAACGGACACAAGUGAGGACAGUGGUGGUGACGGGGGUCGGCUAUAAAUUGCGUAAAUAGGGUUUAACCCAGCUAAUGCCUCGGCAGAUCAGUGUGUCGGGUGUUUAGGAACCAAACCAAGUCCUUUAUGAGUGGUGGAGGAGGUAUUUAGAUAAUUAACUGUACAAAAAAAUGUACGUAGUGUGUUCCUGCAUCGCCGAUCUUCUUCCGGCUGUUUCUGGGAACCUCCAGUAAAUGAGUAAAGCAGCAGAUGAUCGCAGUGUUCUUGGAGGCAAAUAGUUAACAGUAGCGCACUAGCUACGUUAGCUACAUCACUAACAUUAGCGAGCCUUUCAUUUUCCCUGCCUGGAUGCAGAUGGGAACCAAUCUAAACACACACUAUAGUCUCUAUUUUAACAUUAACAAAGAACAUGUUUUCUUGUGUUGACCUUUUUAAAGUGAAGAGUAGGCUACUUUCUUAUGAUCAUGAUGUUAAUAAGCAGACAGUGUUAGUUAGCUAGCAUGCUAGCAAGGUGAUAAGCUGUACUUCCAGGUUAAAUUAUGUUACAUAGGGAAGUCUCCACAACUAUUAAUUAAGGAGUAAGCCAAAUAGAUGCUUGACAAACUUGUAUUUACAGUUCCCCAUGAUGAUAUAUGUCUUUCACCACGUAAAUAUUUCAGUUCAUAUAGGCAUAACACGCUCCUUUACAGAGCAUUGAGCAGCAGUAAUUGGCCUAAAUAUCCUGAUUCCCUUUACUGGAGACAAAACUUUAUUUCUACUACACGUAGAUCAUAAACUCAUAUAAAGCCGACCCAUUGCAAUCGGUUGAGGGAUAUUAACGUUAUAGUCCUGUUCGUGUUUUUAAAAUGUCGGCAUCCAAUCCUAAUUUUCUCCUACAGCAGCUGAGGGCGGUGGAUGUGGGAGGGAGAUGCAGCGCUUCUCAAUCUCCGUUCUUGCCUGUACUUGUGUUGUUGCGGACUUGUGAAACGUCAUCAGUCGCAGCCCAAGUACUGUUCCAAUUCAAAGUCCGCAUCCAGCCAAGUACAGUCCAAAUGCUGGAUGUGAACUUGCUCUGCCCGUUCCAUCGGGGAUGCAUCGGGAGGUAACUUGUGUGGACUUUAGACAGCCAGGUAUCCCAGAAUGCAUUUCUCACAGACCAGCGGCAAUGGCUGUCCUUGGGAGUUUGUACUCCCGAAUCGAAUUUGCCAAGUCCAAACUCCCAAGUGCACAAGUCCAAACUUGGUGUACUUGGUAUUGAGAAACGGUCAUCGUGAGUAAGAUGUCUGUAUCUGUGUAUUUGUAGUGUAUGUUUGUUAUGUAAUGCAGUUUUGUCUGUAUGUUUUUGUUCUGUAUUUGUGUCUGAGGACCCCCUUGAG